rnacentral:rRNA from 1 species
AAACAACCGUGAUUCUCUCAGUGAGCGGCGAGCGAAGAGGGAACGAACUCGUUGCCGAAUCGGGUCUUACAGGGCCUUGAGCUGUGGCAAAAUGUCGCUUUGUGGAUGGUGCAGGAGUGGUGAAAUUCAAGCGCAAAGCAAACCCAUUGCUGAAUACAACCCUUCAUGUGAGUAUUGAGCCAAAGAAGGUGUUAGCCCAUUGAGCCACGAACCUGAGCGCCUCAUGAAGCGUACUAAGAGAGUAGCACUGCUUGGGAAUGCAGUGUCAAGCUGGCAGGUAUUUGUCUGCUAAAGUUAAAUACAGAGUAGGAAGACCGAUAGCGAACAAGUAGCGUGAGCGAAAGUUUGAAAAGCACUUUGGAAAGAGAGUGAAAUAGUACCUGAAGUCGUGACAAUGACAAUGGAAGUACCUCCAUUU